GCCUGAGUGGCUCAGUAGGUGGAGCGUCUGACUUCGGCUCAGGUCUGAUCUCACCCUUUGUGAGUUCAAGCCCUGCUUGGGGCU
rnacentral:tRNA from 1 species